GUGCUCACUUCAGCAGCAAAUAUACUAAAAUUGGAACGAUACAGAGAAUAUUAGCAUGGCCCCUGUGCAAGGAUGACCCACAAAUCCGUGAGGCAGGCCAUAUUUUU